rnacentral:rRNA from 1 species
AUUGAACGCUGGCGGCAGGCUUAACACAUGCAAGUCGAGCGGAGAGAGGUAGCUUGCUACUGAUCUUAGCGGCGGACGGGUGAGUAAUGCUUAGGAAUCUGCCUAUUAGUGGGGGACAACAUUUCGAAAGGAAUGCUAAUACCGCAUACGUCCUACGGGAGAAAGCAGGGGAUCUUCGGACCUUGCGCUAAUAGAUGAGCCUAAGUCGGAUUAGCUAGUUGGUGGGGUAAAGGCCUACCAAGGCGACGAUCUGUAGCGGGUCUGAGAGGAUGAGCCGCCACACUGGGACUGAGACACGGCCCAGACUCCUACGGGAGGCAGAAGUGGGGAAAAUUGGACAAUGGGCGCAAGCCUGAUCCAGCCAUGCCGCGUGUGUGAAGAAGGCCUUAUGGUUGUAAAGCACUUUAAGCGAGGAGGAGGCUACUUUAGUUAAUACCUAGAGAUAGUGGACGUUACUCGCAGAAUAAGCACCGGCUAACUCUGUGCCAGCAGCCGCGGUAACAC